UUUUUUUUUUCUUUCCAAUAUAGCUCUCAUAUGUUCCUCCGUUAUUUCAAAAUACCACUGCAGUUAUCACUUGUUAAGUUAAUUUAGAUUAAAUGUGAGUUAAAUAUCUACUAGAGUUAAAAAAAAAUUAAAAUACCUCUUUUGUCCGUCACUUAAAGGCAAAUAAGAAAUAUUGGUGAUGGCAGAAGGGUAUAUUUGAAAAGACCAAAAAUCAAAAUACUUUUGGUACCCCUAACUUAAGGGCAAAUAAGAAAAGCCGGUAAUGGUGGAAGGGUAUAUUUGAAAAGGCAAAAUAGUAAUUUUGUACAGAUAAUAGCUAUUGCUAACAAUUCAUUAACGGAAUUUAAUUGCAGCGGUAUAUUUGAAAUAGUUGGAACGUAAAAAUGGUAUUUUUAAUAUUAGCCUUCUAAGAGAGGUAAAUUAUAAAGUCCGGAACUUUUCAGAGGUAUAUAAGCAAUUGCCCUCAUAUUAUAAUCCUAUCUACUUUUGAGGAUCUUUGGGAGGACAUUUCUGCAUAAUUCUUAAUAGUUGGGGCUUUUUGAAUUGACAUAUCAGUUAUAGCAAAAAAUAUCAUUUCACUUAUCUAUUGUUAAAAAAUAAACACUACUGUAAGGGCUUGUUUGGUUCAAGGGUGGAAUUGGAAUGGAUAAUGGAAUGGGAAUGAAUUGGAAUGCUAAUUGGAAUGGCCCACUCCCCCAAGACGUUUGGUUUGUGGAUUGGGAAUUGGAAUGAGUUAUUCACAUUUCAUUGUUUGGUUCGUAUAAACUAAAAAAAUUAUAGGAUACUAUAAUACUAAUUUUACUCUCAAAUAUAAAUUUAUAUUAUUUAAAAUUUAUAAAAAAUAUAAUACUAUUCUCUAAUAAGUUUUUCAAAAAAAAUAUCAAAUUUAUUUUUAAAAACUUUUAUUGAUGUGGGUUAGGGAUAGGAUUUUGAGAGAGGAUAGGUUUUUUUUUUUUUUUNGAGAAAGGGGUGAAGGAAGGAGGGUGAGAUGGUCACAUGAGCUUCGAGAACUUAGUGGGCUUCCGGAAUGAAAUCUCAAUCCGGGCUAGAAGACCGGAAUCAAGUUGAAUAAUAGGCCAUUCCCAUUCCAGUCCGGAAUAGGAAUCUCAAACCGAUUCAUGCGAACCAAACAAAAUUAACCGGAUUUGAUCAAACCGAUUCCCAUUCCAUACCCAAAAUGAAUGAACCAAACAAGCCCUAAUGGUAACAAAUCAGAGAGACACAUAUGAAUAUCAUUGAUCUUUUGCAGAGAUAAAAAUAAAAAAUUAAACUUUGUUAGGAUAUAUUUGCUAUUUGAUAUGUUUACAAAGAGCUGUAUGCAAUAAACCCAAUUUAAUAUCUAGUUACACGUUAAAUUUUAU
rnacentral:lncRNA from 1 species